AUUGAACGCUGGCGGCAUGCCUUACACAUGCAAGUCGAACGGUAACAGGUCUUCGGAUGCUGACGAGUGGCGAACGGGUGAGUAAUACAUCGGAACGUGCCUAGUAGUGGGGGAUAACUACUCGAAAGAGUGGCUAAUACCGCAUGAGAUCUACGGAUGAAAGCAGGGGAUCGCAAGACCUUGUGCUACUAGAGCGGCCGAUGGCAGAUUAGGUAGUUGGUGGGAUAAAAGCUUACCAAGCCGACGAUCUGUAGCUGGUCUGAGAGGACGAUCAGCCACACUGGGACUGAGACACGGCCCAGACUCCUACGGGAGGCAGCAGUGGGGAAUUUUGGACAAUGGGCGAAAGCCUGAUCCAGCUAUGCCGCGUGCAGGAUGAAGGCCUUCGGGUUGUAAACUGCUUUUGUACGGAACGAAAAGCCCCGGGUUAAUACCCUGGGGUCAUGACGGUACCGUAAGAAUAAGCACCGGCUAACUACGUGCCAGCAGCCGCCGUAACAC
rnacentral:rRNA from 1 species